rnacentral:tRNA from 1 species
CAAAGAAUAGUUUAAUACUAAAAUAAUAAUUUUGGAGAUUAUUGAUGAAAUUUUUUUUUCUUCUUUGA